UGUAGCUGAUGUAAGGUAUAAAUAAGAUUGAUGUUCCUAUAAAAUAUAUAGCAUAGGAAUUUUCAUCCUUUUAUGUUCUACUUCUACAAUUCGGUAUUUUCACGACACCUGUACAACAUGACUGAAUGCAUUGUGGAAUCACUGUUAUCCCGCUCAUUUGGAUUGAGACCUUUUUCCGAGAAAUGAGAGAUCGUCGAAGGUGGCCGUCCCACUCCUGAGUUGCAAGGACUACAUACAGCAUCCAAGCGAAGUGGUAAAGUCUUUAUUCGAAGUUUUCAGACGUCAAAUUACGACAAGUACAAAUGGCUGGCUGGCUCCUUAAAAUUGAAUAAGUUAUUUUGCUGGCCGUGUCUUUUGUUCAACUCAACAGACAAGACAGUCUGGUGCAAGAAGGGAUACGAUGAUUUGGCCAACCUGUGUAAUGCCAACAGGGGCAAUUACGUCGAAUUGAUAAAACUGCUAAGUGCAUAUGACCCCACGCUUGAACAGCAUCUUCAUACAGCAACCGUGUUUUCUGGACUUUCUAAUCGUAUCCAGAACGAUUUGAUUGUUGCUGUCAAGGACGUUAUGUUGAAAGCAAUAAAAGAUGAAGUGAUGAGGAGCCCAUUUGUCGCUAUUUCCCUGGAUGAAACCUCCGACGUUAAGACUUAUCGCAGCUAACAACUAUAGUUCGCUAUGUCAACCCAGAUGGUAAAGCUGUGGAGCGCUUUCUUGGAUUUACCGAUGUAAGUGUGGAUAGAACUGCGGCUAGACUGAAACAAGAAGUCGGUAAAACCCUGAACGAGUACGGAUGCGGCGAAAAACUGAUUGCCCAAACGUAUGACGGUGCGAUUGUGAUGUCAGGAGAACUGUCCGGUUUGCAAACACGAGUAAGAGAAGACUAUCCACAUGCUCUUUUAAUCCACUGUUGCGGACACACAUUAAAUUUGGUCCUUGUUCAAGCUGUCUCGUCAACUAAAGAGUUGACGAACUAAGAGAAUCAGUUUGACCAACCAGGUGAUUUAGAGAAUCAGUUUGACCAAUCAGGUGAAAGAAGAUCUUACAAGCCUGCAUACAACACAUAACGAACUUUAAGGAAUUCAACCCAAGGAAAUCGUUUAUUCUAUAAAGUCUCUUGAGGAUAGUUAUUGAAAUUUUUUACGUGUCUAAAGAAAGAGAUAUUUGGGCACGAUAUCAUCCUCCAGGUCGACAGGUAACAUUAUCUACAAUAUACGUCAAUUUUAAAGGUAAUAAAUACAUAAAACAAA